CAAUAGCGUAUAUUAAAGUUGUUGCAGUUAAAAAGCUCGUAGUUGGAUUUUGAGUUUGGUAAAAUCGGUCUGCUUUCCGCAGUACUGACUUGCCUGCUCUUCUUCUCGAGGCCUAUGAGUGUACUUAACCGUGCGUUCAUAGUGUUCGGGACUUUUACCGUGAGAAAAUUAGAGUGUUCAUAGCAGGCUUUUGCUUGAAUAUUGCAGCAUGGAAUAAUGGAAUAGGAUCAUGAUCUUAUUUUGUUGGUUUCUAAGAUCAAGAUAAUGAUUAAUAGGGAUAGUUGGGGGCAUUAAUAUUUAGUUGUCAGAGGUGAAAUUCUUAGAUUUACAAAAGAUUAACUUCUGCGAAAGCAUUUGCCAAGGAUGUUUUCGUUAA
rnacentral:rRNA from 1 species